AUGCGGAGGGUGCAAGCGUUAUUCGGAAUCACUGGGCGUAAAGGACGCGUAGGCGGGUUGGCAAGUCAGAUGUGAAAUCCUACAGCUUAACUGUAGAACUGCAUUUGAAACUGCUAACCUAGAGUAUGGGAGGGGGAGAUGGAAUUAGUGGUGUAGGGGUAAAAUCCGUAGAUAUCACUAGGAAUACCGAAAGCGAAGGCGAUCUCCUGGAACAUAACUGACGCUAAGGCGUGAAAGCGUGGGGAGCAAACAGGAUUAGAAACCCUUGUAGUCC
rnacentral:rRNA from 1 species